GACGAACGCUGGCGGCGUGCUUCAUACAUGCAAGUCGAGCGGGAUCCAUCCAGUGGCAACACUGGUGAAGAUCGAGCGGCGAACGGGUGAGUAACACGUGAGGAACCUGCCCCAGAGACCGGGAUAACCCUCCGAAAGGAGAGCUAAUACCGGAUGCCCCCACCGGAUCGCAUGGUCUGGUGAGGAAAUGGAUUCCGCUCUGGGAGGGCCUCGCGGCCUAUCGGCUUGUUGGUGAGGUAAUGGCUCACCAAGGCUUCGACGGGUAGCUGGUCUGAGAGGACGGUCAGCCACACUGGGACUGAGACACGGCCCAGACUCCUACGGGAGGCAGCAGUAGGGAAUCUUGCGCAAUGGGCGAAAGCCUGACGCAGCAACGCCGCGUGGGGGAUGAAGGCUUUCGGGUUGUAAACCCCUUUCAGCAGGGACGAUCGUGACGGUACCUGCAGAAGAAGGACCGGCCAACUACGUGCCAGCAGCCGCGGUAAUACGUAGGGUCCGAGCGUUGUCCGGAUUUAUUGGGCGUAAAGAGCUCGUAGGCGGCUCAGUUAGUCGGAUGUGAAAACUCGGGGCUCAACCCCGAGACGCCAUCCGAUACUGCUGUGGCUUGAAUCUGGUAGGGGAGCACGGAAUUCCUGGUGUAGCGGUGAAAUGCGCAGAUAUCAGGAGGAACACCGGUGGCGAAGGCGGUGCUCUGGGCCAGUAUUGACGCUGAGGAGCGAAAGCGUGGGUAGCAAACAGGAUUAGAUACCCUGGUAGUCCACGCCGUAAACGUUGGGCACUAGGUGUGGGUCCCUAUCGACGGGAUCCGUGCCGUA
rnacentral:rRNA from 1 species